GGCCUCCAGCUCUAUAUGUAUCUGAGCAUCAUCUUGACUCUUGAAUCCUCCAGUCUCCACCUCCAAGAUUCCACAUGUGUGCCAUCACUCUUGGUUUAUCCUGCCAUCUUGAGCCCUUGCAUCCAAGUUUUACCUGUCAGUGUCUCACUUGCCUGCAGCAAAGCAGCCGCUCCCCGUGUAAGCCAAUAGCCCAGGCCCAUCACUACAUAAUAAAGUACUGCAAAGCUGGCAGCCUCAAAGGAAAAUCAGGGCACUGCUGCUGAGGAGACCUAAGAGCCGGGGAGCCCAAAGCUGUGGCUCAGGGUCUCUUUGGUGACUUCAGACUGAAGCCUGAAGGGUGUGCUGUCCCAAAGGUCCCCUGAUGGGGCUUGUUCCUUGCUACCGAGGCUGUCUGUAAGUGAAGUGUCCUUGAGAUAUGGUGCUGAGGGACCCAAAAGAGAGCAAGUGAAGACCUCAUCUCUGAAGUAACACAUGGUCGCCUCCACUUGUUUCUGCUCACCUCCAGUCAGGAUCCCGUGCUCCCCACAUUGUCCUAUUUUUACAAAGGAGAAAGGCCCAGCUUCUCUGGAGAAGGCAGGGUUGCCUGUGGGCAUGCAGAUGCUGAGGUGUAGACUGUUAGCUCUUCCUUCCUCUGCUCCUGAGCCUUUGUUCAGUGCUGUGUGUUCAGAGAGGCUGUGUACUGUUUGAGAGCCUGGCUCCCUUCCUUCUUGGAUGGCCAAACACAAUGAUUAACGUCCAUUUUCUGAAAGAAGCAAGACCACAGAAAGAAGUGACCAAAGUCUAACUCCAAACCACACGUCCUAGUACCAUGUCUGACAGGACGUGAUAACAGAGCAAGCCUUUUGAAAGCUUGAAUGCAAGAAUACAUGAUGCAGAUGAGAACUGAAUGCCACCAGCCAGGCUCUCUGUCCCUCACAGACCUCAGCCAGCUGAAACAUGUUUGGAUUAAAGACAAACGUCAUCAACUCACGUCCGCCUCCAGCCUUCACUAUGCACAUUAGGCAACAGCAGUCACAGGUCUGCUUUUGUGGGUGCCAUUGUCACAGCUGUUGGUACAGACACAAAUACUAGGCUUUCUUUCCACCGUGUAAAAAUCCAGACACUGACCCAGCAGAACCCAGUUCCUGUUGAGACACAGAUAACUCAUCCCUCCUCCAAAGAGUUCCUGGGAGCCCUAACAGAUCAAAAGCGCAGGCCCUCCUAGCACUGAUUCCUCCCUUGUUUUGGAAACAAACCUCGGGGCAGGUGUGGAUCAUGCCGAAAGCAAACCGGAGCACAAAGAGAGGCGUUGACAGAGCAGAGCCUUCUGUCCAAGUGACUGACCACAAAAUGGAAGAAAGUGGGUUCUGAGAUGCUUGUGUUCAGCUGUGUAAGGGAGAAGUGCCAGCAGGGCCAGGGGCAGCAGUGUCUGUUCCAGUCACCUGUGAACAUCUGUUGGCCCAGUUCCCUGGGAAACUGGGUUGACAAAGGAGGGAGUGAGGGAGCUUCGGCCUGCCCAGCCUUCAACGACUAGACACCUAUCUAUACCCCUGUACAGCCGACAGGCAAAAUUAACCAUGACACAAGGCUACUUCGAGCAUAAACCAAAUGCAAUCCCGUGUACUGAGUGCCGGGUAAACUGCACAGAUGGACGCUGGGUAGGUAAACCACAGGGGGGUUCGCUGCUGACCUGAAAUUCCCACCUGCUCUGUCAAAGGGAGAGGAUGUUCCUGAGUUGAGGAAGGGGCAGCCAUGGAGGGAAAAGGAAAGGGGGUGAUCGCUGAUCCAAAGGCCUGAGGACAC